rnacentral:rRNA from 1 species
GAUGAACGCUGGCGGCGUGCUUAACACAUGCAAGUCGAACGAUGAAGCCCAGCUUGCUGGGUGGAUUAGUGGCGAACGGGUGAGUAACACGUGAGUAACCUGCCCUUAACUCUGGGAUAAUCCUGGGAAACUGGGUCUAAUACCGGAUAGGAGCGUCCACCGCAUGGUGGGUGUUGGAUAGAUUUAUCGGUUUUGGAUGGACUCGCGGCCUAUCAGCUUUUUGGUGAGGUAAUGGCUCACCAAGGCGACGACGGGUAGCCGGCCUGAGAGGGUGACCGGCCACACUGGGACUGAGAGACGGCCCAGACUCAUACGGGAGGCAGCAGUGGGGAAUAUUGCAAAAUGGGCGCAAGCCUGAUGCAGCGACGCCGCGUGAGGGAUGACGGCCUUCGGGUUGUAAACCUCUUUCAGUAGGGAAGAAGCGAAAGUGACGGUACCUGCAGAAGAAGCACCGGCUAACUACGUG